rnacentral:rRNA from 1 species
GACGAACGCUGGCGGCGUGCCUAAUACAUGCCAGUUGAGCGCUGAAGGUUGGUACUUGUACCAACUGGAUGAGCAGCGAACGGGUGAGUAACGCGUGGGGAAUCUGCCUUUGAGCGGGGGACAACAUUGGGAAACGAAUGCUAAUACCGCAUAAAAACUUUAAACACAAGGUUUAAGUUUGAAAGAUGCAAUUGCAUCACUCAAAGAUGAUCCCGCGUUGUAUUAGCUAGUUGGGGAGGUAAAGGCUCAACAAGGCGAUGAUACAUAGCCGACCUGAGAGGGGGAUCGGCCACAUUGGGACUGAGACACGGCCCAAACCCCCACGGGAGGCAGCAGUAGGGAAUCUUCGGCAAUGGACGAAAGGCUGACCGAGCAACGCCGCGUGAGUGAAGAAGGGUUUCGGAUCGUAAAACUCUGUUGGUAGAGAAGAACGUUGGUGAGAGUGGAAAGCGCAUCAAGUGACGGUAACUACCCAGAAAGGGACGGCUAACUACGUG